GAAGGGUGCAAGCGUUACUCGGAAUUACUGGGCGUAAAGCGUGCGUAGGUGGUUCGUUAAGUCUGUCGUGAAAGCCCCGGGCUCAACCUGGGAAUGGCGAUGGAUACUGGCGGGCUAGAGUGCGGUAGAGGAGAGUGGAAUUCCCGGUGUAGCAGUGAAAUGCGUAGAGAUCGGGAGGAACAUCAGUUGCGAAGGCGGCUCUCUGGACCAGCACUGACACUGAGGCACGAAAGCGUGGGGAGCAAACAGGAUUAGAUACCCUGGUAGUCCACGCCCUAAACGAUGCGAACUGGACGUUGGGAGCAACUAGGCUCUCAGUGUCGAAGCUAACGCGUUAAGUUCGCCGCCUGGGGAGUACGGUCGCAAGGUUA
rnacentral:rRNA from 1 species